AGUCUGCAAUGAAAAGACCGUAAUAUACAUGUGGCAGGAUACAAAUCUCUCAAAAUAUGUUUCCAUAACACAGCCAGACUUGAAACUUCACUUUCAGUAAUUCCAGCUAUUUUUAACUUAUGAAAAGUACGAAAAUAAAUACACAUUAAAUGUAAGUUGUCAUGAGCAGUAAAGUGCAACUAACAUCCAUACUAGGGGAAUUCUUAAUCUCCACCUCUUAUAUCCAUUACAGGCUCUUGUGAAGAAUCAAAAAGGAGAGGUUAUUUACCAGUUCAAGGGCUGCCUCUGCUAAUCUACACACAGUGGACUCAAAAAUGCCUACAUCAGUGUUCUGUAACUUUCUGGUGAAGGUGGAUGAGGAGUGUGACUGCUAAGACAACCCUCAAAGAACUACACUUACUGGUAAAAUAACCACUUCCUCUUUGACGAGUCUCUGAAUACAUGUACAUUCAUGGAGACUGCUGAAACCUUGUCCAUCGGCGCAUCCUCCACACCGUGACAAAGACUUUCCCAGAUUACAAGGCAGAAAAAGAUGACUCGGGAGGACAUGUUCAAUGAGUUAAUGCGCACCUCUGAGAGUGAUAAGACAGAGCUCCGAGCAUGGACGAUUACACUGUCUGAGAACCUGGACGUGGACAGGGAGGACAGGAGAGCAUGCAGGGAACAAGAGCGUGUCACACAGAAAGAGAUGCUGCAGAUUAAGACGGAGCAAUCAGACAUGUUAAGGCUCAAGAAAGGCAGAUGGAUGCUAGAGUGCCUAUGCUGCCAUCAGCACCCAGGUCUACAUCCUCCUCUCCCAACCGUCCUAUGAGGCGGGAGAGGUGGGGAGUUUGGUAUCCAUGGCACUCAACACCAGGAGAGGGUACAAGGACCAGGAGGCGCCCAUUCCCACACCUUUGAUGGUUAUUGCAGUGCAAACUUUCCUUGUCCCCUCCCCCCCACACCCCCCCAGUGUUA